CCCUUAGAUGUUCUGGGCCGCACGCGCGCUACACUGAUGCAUUCAACGAGCCUAUCCUUGACCGACAGGUCCGGGUAAUCUUUGAAUCUGCAUCGUGACGGGGAUAGAUUAUUGCAAUUAUUAAUCUUCAACGAGGAAUGCCUAGUAGGCGCAAGUCAUCAGCUUGCGUCGAUUACGUCCCUGCCCUUUGUACACACCGCCCGUCGCGCCUACCGAUUGGGUGUGCUGGUGAAAUGUUCGGAUCGGCCGUUUGUCGCGGUUUCCGCGUCAUGUGGCUGAGAAGUUCAUUAAACCCUCCCACCGAGAGGAAGGAGAAGUCGUAACA
rnacentral:rRNA from 1 species